rnacentral:misc_RNA from 1 species
UACAGAGGGUGCAAGCGUUAAUCGGAAUUACUGGGCGUAAAGCGCGCGUAGGUGGUUUGUUAAGUUGGAUGUGAAAGCCCCGGGCUCAACCUGGGAACUGCAUCCAAAACUGGCAAGCUAGAGUACGGUAGAGGGUAGUGGAAUUCACGGUGUAGCAGUGAAAUGCGUAGAUAUCGUGAGGAACACCAGUGGCGAAGGCGACCACCUGGACUGAUACUGACACUGAGGCGCGAAAGCGUGGGGAGCAAACAGG